CUAUCUCCGCACUCUUUCUCUCCAACCUAGCUUGUCGCGGAGGUAUCCUUUUACCGGUGACUUCUCCUCUUCUGUUUCAUUGUUAGAUCUGCAGUCGUCGCUACCCCGUGGCCUGUCAUCCACCACCACCGCAAGCAACGAGAAAUUGGGGCGGGACAACAAUUAUCAUCCUGUCGCCGAUGAGGUUUCGAGGGUGUUUCAUUCAGCGGUAAGCUUCCUUUCCCUACUUCGCUCCUCCAUUUUAUUCAUGCUCAUGCUUAUGCUUUGCCCUUUUGCCUUCUCCCCCUCCCGCACCCCCGCUCGACUCCCAAUUGAACGGCGGGGGCGGGGCGCUAUUCACUUCUUAGGAAGAGGGAUCAAACAUUUUCAUUGUUUUUUCUUUAACUUUUUUUGUACGAUCAAUUUAGGGCAUCGUGUUUUCUUCAUCAAGGGGGUCUACACCACUUUAUUCCACCCCUUUAUUGCUACUCCUGCUUCUGCUUUGCUCUUUUGCGGUCUCCUCCUCCAGCACCGCUCCCUCCUCUUCAUCCAACUCCAGGUUGAUUGCCGGGAGAUCAUUCACCUUUUUAGGAAAAAAUAGUUAAUUUUCGUCCAUUAUAUACCCCCCUUCUUCCCUUUCCUGUUUCUUUUGGUAUGAUCUAUCUUGGAGCAUAGUUUCUAUCCAAGAAGGGGGUUUACACCAAGAAGCAAAAUAAGAAAACCAUCUGGCCUAAGAAGGUUUGUGUAUCCGCUGCAUGGUGGUCAAGUCAGAUCUUGCCUUCUCGUACUGCGUGUCUGCCUGUCCUUCUGGCCUAGGAAGUUUUUGUCUCACUCCAUCCAUCCUUUCCCCUGCGGCGCCGCCCUGUCCUUUCAGAUAGACAUCACCUUCUCCUCUGCCACAAGAAGCUCUCAACGGCUGCAGAGUCUCACAGGUGCCUCGAUAUUCCCAAAGAUGGACACGUAGGUGCCAUAUAUGGGUGGCGUACACUUAAUCUGUUGAUUAGUGGAGUGGAGUAGGAGAAUAUUGAUGAGUACAUGUGUGAAUGUUUACAUAGUACUCCACUAACAUCCAGCACUAUUCCCUUGCUUGAUUGGGGAAAAUUAAUGUAAGAGGCAGACAGUAGAUGGGACAAAAGAAAGAAAGAAAAUAGAUCCCUUGCAAGCUAGAGGCCCCUAAAAGAAAGAAAGCUAGAGGUCCUUAAAAGAAAGAACGAAAAUGGGUCCUUUGCAAGCUAGCUCGACA
rnacentral:lncRNA from 1 species